GGAGGUAUAGUUCAGUUGGUAGAGUGCUUGCCUUGUAUGCACAUAAACCCUGGGUUCAAUGCCCAGCACCGUCA
rfam:Ictidomys tridecemlineatus contig107229, whole genome shotgun sequence.